AUUACAACAGUUGUUGUUUGUCAAUUUUUAUGCAUUUAUGUCAUACACAACUAUGUGCACAUUAAGCCAAAAUAUUGUCUGUCUAAGAUUAGAAGGGUAAAUUAUGUUUCUUCGAAUGAUGUUUGUGGAUAUUUGUGUUUGUUUUAGCAUGCCCCAUAUGAUGCCAUGGUUUUGGUGUCUCAUGGCUACUACAUAGAUCAAAAGCUAAAAGGCCAGUGGUGGGGUGUGGAAGGGUUCAAAGGUUGUGCGUGAUAUGCCUGUGCCAGAGGAAUUGAUAUUCACUGUGGAUGAAAGGCUCAGGAAAGACAUCGCGCUGGCUAAAGAACAGUACAAUAAAAGUAGGAACCAUCAUUUCAUCCAAACAGCCAUUAUAGUCAAGCAGAUUAAAUAUUUUAAAGGCAUUAAAUUAAAAUCUAAUAAUUCGUUUUUCAUUAAAUAAACACAAGGGACAAUGAAAUUCAAACAUUUUCAUUGAUAUGCACUUUAUAU